rnacentral:rRNA from 1 species
GUGGGUGCGGAGGGAUCAUUACAGAGAACAUCGCCCGCAAGGGUGACUCUCCAACCCUAUGUUAAUUAUACCUUUGUUGCUUUGGCGAGCCGCUUCGGCCACCGGCUUCACGCUGGUGAGUGCUCGCCAGAGGACCCUAAACUCUGUUUAUACAUGUCGUCUGAGUACUAUAUAAUAGUUAAAACUUUCAACAACGGAUCUCUUGGUUCUGGCAUCGAUGAAGAACGCAGCGAAAUGCGAUAAGUAAUGUGAAUUGCAGAAUUCAGUGAAUCAUCGAAUCUUUGAACGCACAUUGCGCCCUGUGGUAUUCCGCAGGGCAUGCCUGUUCGAGCGUCAGUACAACAAUCAAGCCUAGCUUGGUCUUGGGCCUCGCCGGAGACGGCGGGCCUUAAAAUCAGUGGCGGCGCCUGUCGGGCCCUAAGCGUAGUAAUAACUCCUCGCUACAGGGACUCGGCGGAUGCUGGCCAUCAACCCCCAACUUUCUAAGUUUGACCUCGGAUCAGGUAGGGAUACCCGCUGAACUUAAGCAUAUCAAACGG